UGACGUCAUUUGCCCCUGCACUUCGAAGAAGAAGGACCUUCGGGUUUCUGCGCUUCUCGACCAAAAAAUAAUGAACCACAAGCAUUGAUUUUCUGCCAAGGAACGAGUAUAAAUACCAAUCGAAUACCAUAUUAAUGUCGAGGAACGUGUGAGAGAGACGUUUGGGAAACAUUUUGAAGAAAAUGACGAAUAAAUGGCGGUAAAAUUGCGAAGACAAAUUUGGCCAGGUCGAAGGAAUUCCAAACCAAGAUGGCGUCGCCUUCUUCUCCAAUCUGAAAAAUGCACCGAAAAUCAUUUUAAUUGGGUUGGACAUCAGCUUAUUAGGAUAUUUAUUACAGACGUAAGUUCUCCUAUAAUUUUUUCAAGUAUGGGAAAGUAUAAUAUUUUAUUUACGAAAAUUAAUUUUUUCAGCAAAAAUUUAUACCUGAAAUCAUACCCCCAAAAUACUACAAUUUAAUUAUUGUUAAGCCAAAACCAUACUGGUGUGGGGAUGUCAUCUUAUAAUUGAAUUAACCGCAAAAAUGAAUUAACCGCAAAAUAGGAAAUACCCCCUUUCCAAAAACCUGACAAACAACCUCCCAGGCCCCCCGUACCAGCUAUUCAUUCUAUUUUUUUUUCUCAUUUCUCUUAUAUAUUAUAUUUUCUCCAGCGAGACUGUAGAAGAACCAUACAAGAUGAAACCAGCGACUGAAAAGAUGAGGCUUGAAUUCUCUCGGGUAUAUUAAUUUUUAUCUCUCUUGUUUUAAUUUAAUAUAGAAAUACUUGCAUUGGAUAGUGCAGAUUUUUGAUUGACCAUUCUUUUUAGCAUGUAUUACCCUCAGAUUACAAUUUAGAUCUUUUAGAUUUUUCUGACCAAUGGAGAGAGCAACAGAUCUAGUUCUAUUAUUGUAUCUAAAAUUUUCCAUACACUAUAGAUCCAUACAACAGCUGUGAUGAAGUCGCGCCCUAAAUAAAGGACCUGGAUAGUGUCUAAUUGAAGAGCAUUGGAAAUGGUGAGAAAAACAAAUUUCAGAAAAUACUAUUGUUAAAUAUUACAAAAAUGAUUUUAAUUAGCCUUAUUUUUUUAACAUGGAACAUAAAAUUAUGCUCUAUGUUUCGACUAGUACAGUCAUCUACAGUUCAAUACCACGUUUUCAAAAUUUUUAUUAAUUUCUAUUGUAAAGAUUGUUCUAAAAUUUUCGUUGCUUUUUCUCAAAGGAAGUGAAGAAAACUGGAUAGCAGACCCUGGAGUGAUAGAGACGACAUGGACCCACGAUUUCAAAUCAAUUACGAAUUUAAGCUGCGAAGAUGCAACGA